rnacentral:rRNA from 4 species
AAGACUACCCGCUGAGUUUAAGC